rnacentral:misc_RNA from 1 species
CAUGACUUUUAGCGAAAACUGUAGUUACUUUGUGAUGCCGUAUAUUUCCGAGAUAUUUACGAAAUAACAAAAUUUUGUAUGAAUUUCAAGUUAAAUUUGUAUUUUACGAUAACUAGGAAUCAAUUCAAUACCGUGUAAAUACAUUAUCGAUGUGCUACUGCGGAAUUACAUGGUGUGCUAACUAUUAAAAGAUUCCAAAUGGAGCCGUGCACGAGUCGUUUCACGGCCGCGGAGGGCGGCACGCGGCUCGCGGCGGCCGCCAGCUCCAGGAACCUGCUCGUCGCGGAGUACAGCGGCUUCAUAUCCACAAGGCUGGUGUGCGAAGAGGCUUAUAAUAUUCGGGGCCUCCUCUCAGAAGGUCGUCGCAGAUCGAUCUAUGUGACGCGGAAGGCUCGUGUGGCGCUCGUCACGUACGACCUGAAGAUCAUGACUGACUUGCAGGUGAUCGGCGCGACGGACCCCGGGGAAGUCGAGGAUUGGAGUCAGGAGAUGGAGGUUAAGGAGGUCCUAGUGGCCACUUCGGAAGUGAUCAAGCAUGUUCUAGAAGCAGAAGUGUUGAAGAUGACGGACAUAAACGUGAUGAUAUUGGACAGCUGUCAUCUGAUAUACAAAGAUGAUAGUUUGAAAUACAUAAUGAAAUCAUACAAAAACUGUCCAAAAGAGAAGAGACCUCGAAUACUAGCUCUAACAUACCCGCUAUUUACAUCCCCAAAGAAAAAGCAAGCAGAAAUCAAGAAGGACGCAGAAGUUGUAGAGAAUGAUGCGGAAGAUGAGAACAUUGAGGAAAUGUCAGAAGGUAUUUCAAGUGAAGAGAAGUGCACAGAAGUAGAGAACAAGCAAGAAGUGACCCAGAAGGAAACAGAAGUGACCCAGAAGGAGGAAUUCGGUGUUUAUAAGAAUCUGGAUGAUUAUGAAAUGUAUGAGAAGUUAGAAUGGAAUAUAUCUCAGUUGGAGGAUGCGUUGUGCUGCCAGAUGGAUUUUGCUGAAGACAUUGAUGGUGGCAAGAGGAUAUCGACAAACCUCACCAAGCCAAGGGAACUGAUUAUAGAGUACACUUCAGCUCCUUGCAGGCAGUCUCUCUCGGAGGAGUAUUUGGACUUGGAGAAAUACAUGAAGGAUACAGUGAAUGAUGCGCUGGAGUUCUUGGAUGACCAUCGACACGACCCCACAGAGAUAUAUGGAGAGGAGUUAUACGACGAAUUCAAAAACAUUCCAGACCCCACGACGGACCCUAGGAAUAUAUUGAAGCAGUUUUUAUACGUUUUGGAACAGUUAGGACCCUACGGAGCAGACAAGGCGGCAUUCUCUCUCCUAAUAACAUUAGAAAAGUUAAAAAUCAAAGUACCUUACGAAAGGCAUUUUCUACUUCUAUGUUUUUGCAUGACCACGUUUAUAAAACUAAGAGGAUAUGCGGACUAUGUGUUCAGCAAAUAUGACCAAGAGUGGGACAAGAUAAAAGCGUUCAGUACACCUAAAGUGUUGAGGUUCGGUGAAAUCCUGCAGAAGUUUCACCCCAAUGUCGAUAAGAGCUCGAAUCCCACAGCAAGAUUGCUCAAAGAGAUAGAGCAGUGCGAUUUCGCGAAGUUAGGCGAUGCUCUGGAAGAUCAAGUGAACACUUUAGAGGCGAAUUUGAAGGAGAUACACGAAUACUAUACUGAUAAAGAUCAGGUUUUGAUCAACGAAGCCCUGGAGAAAGGAAACUGUGGGGUUCAAAACGAAGCAGAAUCACACGGGAAUAAAACAGGACACUCUGUUAAAAAAUAUGGGAAUGAUAAAGAAGUUUCUUCCCAAUCCCACGAAGCGAAUUCUCAGGACCAAUCCCACGCGAAUAAAGUGGGAUUCAGUCGACGUACCGGUAGGAUGCGCGGGCGCAGAGUUCAGAGGACGAACGCAGCGAGGAUGCAGAUGACGUUGUUGAAUCCCGAUGCUUUAUGUGGGAUUGUGUUUGUGAAAGAGCCAUUGAUGGCGAAAAUACUGUUCAUGCUGAUUGUGGAUAUGUCCCGGUGCCAUCCGAAGCUGUCAUAUCUCUGCGCGCAGUACUGCGCAGUGGAACACGGCACCGACCCACUGGAGCUCAAGGAGUGCCAGCGACAGGGGAAAAAGCAGGAGGAUGUUCUAAAAAAAUUCCGCAUGCACGAAUGCAACCUUCUCUUGGCGACGCCUGCGUUGGAGGAGGGCAUAGAUCUGCCGAGAUGCAACCUCGUGUUGAGAUGGGACGUGCCGCCGUCUUACCGCUCGUACCUCCUGUGCCGCGGUCGCGCGCGCGCCCCCCGCUCGGCCGCGGCCGUGCUCAGCGGCGCCGGCCACGGACAGACCGACCAACUGCUGAGAAACGUCGCUAUAUACAGAGAAUUGGAUCAGAUAAUAACAAGGAAAUGCGGAUGCGGAAUACAGAACGAGCCUCCGCAAGUGGAAGAGGAUCAUGCGGAUACACUAAACAACAUCAUAAAGCCAUACGUGCCUGUAUUGUUAAAAAAUCCAAAUAAAACCACAAACUUCAUCGAAAACAAAGCACAAGCGGUGAAAACAGAAAGUAUCGAAAAUGAGUCGAAAAAAAAUUCUGACAAAAGUGAUUCUAAGAAUUCAGACGAAAAUGAUUCUAAGAGUUCUGACACGUCAGAUCCUACUGACACGUCAGAAGCUCUCGUCAGGACGGAGAAUAAUCUGAAGAACGAGAAUCUAGUGUGUAACAAAUGUACUGGCGUGAAACCUUGUGCGAGUGCGGAGUGUUUGUGCGUCAACGGUUCUGACGUUAAAACUGACGUCAGAUACGAAGUGAAGUCUGACGCGGAGGUUGUAGCGAGCGUGGACUUAAAUACGGCUAUAGCUUUGAUUAAUAGAUACUGCGGCAAGCUACCAUCAGACACGUUCACUCGCCUCGCCCCGCAAUGGUGGAUGGAAACAGUCCAACUACCCGACGAGAGCGGAACACACCGCACCGCGUACAUCUGCACGCUGCGACUGCCUCUCAACUGUCCCGUCAAGUACAAUAUAGUGGGUCACCCGAUGCCGACCGUGGUGUUGGCUAAACGGAUGGUAGCCCUGCAGGCUUGCAGGAUCCUUCAUAAGUCUGGAGAGCUGGACGACAACCUCAUGCCUAUAGGCAAGGAAAACUUCAAAGCGGCCGAGUUGGAAACGAACAGCAACACUGACGACGAGACGAACGACAGCGCCAGACCGGGCACCACCAAGCGUAGACAGUAUUAUUACAAACGGACCGCGUGGGCGUUCACAGAUUGUCAGCCGGUCAUAGACACGAGCGAUUCAGAGAUAGACUCACCAGAGAACGGUGCACCAGAAGCAACACCCACAGAAAAUAAGGAGAUUAAAGGCAGCAAGCGCAAUAUGCUGUACGCCAUAGUGUGCAAGCUGUGGUGCGCCCUCCCCGAGCGGUACAACACGCGCGGCAGGAGGCUGCACGCGCCGCAGCACGCCGCGCAGGCGCUCGGGAUACUCAUGGCCAGGGACAAGCCCACCAGCCUGCAGAUCCCCGCGUUUCCUGUGUACACCCGGUCCGGGGAGGUCCGCGUCAGCGUAGAACAUGUGCCUGACGCUGACGUCAGGGUGUCGCCGCGCCGAGGCCGACUGGUCAGGCGGUUCAUGCGGUUCGUGUUCUCGGAGGUGUUGCGCGUGCGGCGGCGCGGCAUGCGGCUGCACAGCGACGGCUCCACGCACAACAACUACUACAUCGUGCCGACGAUCAAGACAACUCGACCGGACGGUACAACGAAGAUAGAUAUUGACUGGGCGUUCCUGGAAGUCAUAUACAGGCAUACAGAAGAGAAGAAGCAUUCGGAAGUGGAGAACGUGAUGCUGUGGCAGCAAGAUGAGGAAGAUGAGGGCAUCGGGGAGGAGAAGACGAAGACUAAAGAAGAAGGCAAGCGGAAGAUGGACAACCCCCUGCUGAAGCCGGGGGAGACCUUUGUAUUUGACGCGGAGAAGUAUCGAGAGGCCGUGGUCACUCCUUGGUACAGGAACCAAGAUCAGCCUCAGUUCUUCCUAGUGGCCGAGAUAUGUUGGAAUCUGACCCCGGACUCGGCGUUUCCCUCCGCCCUGCACACCAGCUUCCGGAACUAUUAUCAGAGUAAAUACGGAGUAGUACUCACUCAGCCUGAUCAGCCGUUGUUGGACGUCGACCAUACUAGCGCUAGACUCAACUUGUUGACGCCUAGGUACGUGAACCGCAAGGGCGUGGCGCUGCCGGUGUCGUCGGAGCGCACGCGCCGCGCCAAGCGCGACCGCCUCGACCAGAAGCAGAUCCUCGUGCCGGAGCUGUGCCACGUGCAUCCCUUCGCCGCGCCGCUGUGGUUCGCCACCGUGGCGCUGCCCUGCGUGCUGUACAGGAUCAACGCUCUUCUCAUAGCUGAUGAGAUCAGACGAGCGGUGGCCAUCGACGUGGGUCUCGGGGUCCCGAAAAUCGAUGAGGACACGAUGCCGGGGUUCCAGUGGCCUCCUCUUGACUUCGGAUGGAGUUUGGCUGAGGUCUUAAGCGCUGAUUCAGAGAAGAACGAGAAGAAGAAACAAGACGAGAUGAAAGAAAAAGAUGAAAAAGAGACGCAAGAGACGGAGAAAGAGGACGACCAGAAGACGCUAGAAGAUGAAGCCGUAGAGGAAGUGGUCGAGCAGAAAACCAUCAACGAUAUACUACAGGAGAAAGAGCAGGCGGAGAGUGAGUUCGAGAUAGGCACGUGGAGUAACGACAUGGCGUCGUGUAUACCACAGCCGCGAGAAUACGACGAGUACAUGGAACCUCUUCCUCCGAACCUCACGUUCUGCACAUCAGCCUCAGGCGGUGCGGACUGGUGCAGCCCAGUGGAGAAGCCCAAGAGCCAGUACCAUCCGAGCAGGAGUUACUCAGUGGCGAACAGUGACUACUCUUAUAUGUCCAGUGAUUUCGACACUGAAGACUCCGACUCGGACCUGGACGGAAGCGACGACGAGACCGACUCCAGCAGUGGCUUCUGCAGCAGCAAGCAUUCCAAUGCGGCCAUGGGCGUCCGCAUAGAGUACAAGACAGCGCACGAGGCGGAGGCGGUGGACCUCGAGCGCAGGGUCAAGGUCAACCCCGCUCCAGACCCUGACGAGGAAGACGACGCCCAGGAUCGGAUGCUGCACGCGGAGUUCAUACGGGCGGGCACCGCGCCUGAUGAGCACUUAGAAAAAUUCCGCACAUCAGUAUCCCAACACGAGCAAGAAAUAAAAACAAACGGACUCAUAAAACACGACCAGCCGAUCGUAGAAAUUUUACCAGAACUGGUCCAGCCGAAACCAGCUCUGACGAAACACUACGAUCAGGUGAAACUAAACUCCUUAUUCCCGUAUACGAGAGAGAAACUGAUCUUCGAAGAUGGGCAAAUAACAAUAGAGAGUAUAGAGAAGAAUAAGCGAGUGUUGUUGGAGGUGGUGAAGAAGAAUUUGGGCGAUGAAGCGAAGACGAUGAACUGUUUCUCCAUGAAGGAUGUGGAUAUAGAUUCGCCAGGGUACGUUGACGAGAAGAUCGCGAACGUCGGGUUCGCGGCGAGCAAAUGUGAGAAGUCUACAGGAGCCGAUCUGGUCCCCUACUAUUUGGACGUGGGGGGGAAGAGCAAAGAGUUCGAUUUCGACCACCAGCCCGUGCUGGAAGGGCAUCCGGGGCCGAGUCCUAGUGUCAUCCUACAGGCGCUGACGAUGUCGAACGCGAACGACGGGAUAAACCUGGAACGUCUGGAGACUAUCGGGGACAGUUUCCUCAAAUUCGCCAUCACGGCGUACCUUUACUGCGCGCAUCCGAACGUGCACGAGGGGAAGCUAAGUCACAUGAGGAGCAAACAGGUGUCGAACCUCAACCUGUACCGUCUGGGCCGCAACAAGCGCCUGGGCGCGCGCAUGAUCGCGUCCAAAUUCGAGCCGCACGACAACUGGCUGCCACCGUGCCACCGCCCUCCGCCCACGCUGCAUCCCAAGGCCGCGGAAUGUCAAGAGCAGGGUCCGAAGAACGAGACGUCCGUGGACAGUAGUGGAUGUUACAUACCUUAUAAUCUGAUCACACAACAUAGUAUACCCGACAAGUCCAUAGCGGACUGCGUGGAGGCUCUGAUCGGCGCGUACCUGCUGGAGUGCGGGCCGCGGGGCGCGCUGCUGUUCAUGUCGUGGCUCGGCAUCCGCGUGCUGCCGCUCCACCACGUCACCCUGCCGCCGGGGGCCGCGCCGCGGGACGCGACGCACGCGCAGGACCAGAAACCAUCACCGCCCCCAUCACCGAAACGCCAGCGCCGUUCGUCAUCAUCAUCAUCAUCGGAGUGCUCGUCCGAUGAAGAGGAACUCAGCGCGGGAGUGUCUCGAGAGCGAGAGGACCGAGGAGUGGUGGUGGAAGGACAGGCGCGUCGGGUCCCUGCCGCCACGACAGGAUUCGAACGGAACCUGGAUUCAGCCGGUAUAUGGUGAACUGAAGGCACCUCCGUCUCCCCUCCUGAGAUAUAUAGAAGAUCCCGAAGGAGAACUGGAACAAAUGCUGUCUGGCUACGACGCGCUGGAGCGCACGCUGCAGUACCGGUUCCAGGACCGCUCGCUGCUGCUGCAGGCGCUGACGCACGCCUCGCACCACAACAACAGGCUGAGCGACUGCUACCAGAGGCUCGAGUUCCUCGGAGACGCCAUAUUGG